ACGGGUGAGUAACACGUGGUCAACCUACCUAUGAGUGGGGGAUAACUAGCCGAAAGGUUAGCUAAUACCGCAUACGUCGCGAUCCGGCAUCGGAUUUCGAUAAAAGGAGCAAUCCGCUCGUUGACGGGACCGCGUCCCAUUAGCUAGUUGGUGGGGUAACGGCCUACCAAGGCUUCGAUGGGUAGCUGGUUUGAGAGAGCGACCAGCCACACUGGGACUGAGAAACGGCCCAG
rnacentral:rRNA from 1 species